rnacentral:rRNA from 1 species
AUACGGAGGAUCCGAGCGUUAUCCGGAUUUAUUGGGUUUAAAGGGUGCGCAGGCGGCCAUUUAAGUCAGCGGUUAAAUCGUGGGGCUCAACCCCAUUCUGCCGUUGAUACUGGGUGGCUUGAUUGCGGUCGAGGUUGGCGGAAUUCGUUGUGUAGCGGUGAAAUGCAUAGAUAUGACGAAGAACACCGAUUGCGUAGGCAGCUGACCAGACCACAAAUGACGCGCAUGCACGAGAGUGCGGGGAUCGAACAGAAAUAGAUUGGCUGUUAGUCCGCACAGUAAUCGAUGAAUGCUGGUGUUCGGCGAUAUAAUGUCGGAGGCGAAGCGAAAGCGAUAAGUAUUCCGCCUGGGGAGUACGCCGGCAACGGUGAAACUCAAAGGAAUUGACGGGG